rnacentral:tRNA from 1 species
GCGCGAGUAGCUCAGUUGGUAGAGCGCAACCUUGCCAAGGUUGAGGUCGCGGGUUCGAAUCCCGUCUCGCGCUCCA